UCUGGCUGGCCGUCACUGCAAACUUAAGCUGUGUCUGGUCCCGUGUAGCUCCGCCCCUCUAUUCCGUGUAGCUCCGCCCCCUCGAGCCGCCGUAGCUCCGCCCCCUUUUCAGGCCCCGAACUGCACAGCCCGCUGUCACAGGUGAUUGGGGGGGUGGGGGCUUUUCAUGCUGCCGCGUAGUAGGCGGACACUAGCAGGCAGUGUCCGCCUACUUAUCGUUCAGUUGGGGGGAAAGUUUCCCCUACACCUGAACGAUUGGUUGGGAAAAUCAAACAGGUUUGAUUUUCCCAACUAGUUGGACAGACCGUUUCUGUCCGUUUUUCAGCGUGUGGGAGCAAACGGCUGAUAAUCGUUUGCUCCCACACACUGCCACAUUAUCUUUCCAACCAGCCAACUAGUUGGCUGGUUGGAAAGAUAUCGUCCUGAUGUAUGGCCAGCUUUAUUAAGUUACUAUGUUACAUCAUUAUGUAAAGAAAAUAAAAGAAGCAUGAGUCUUGCCUGCACAAACUUACAGUCUAAUGGGAAAAUGGGUUCACACUAAGAGGGAGAGAGGAGAAGUGCACUGGGGUGUACAGAAUGUAGAGUUAGGAGGAGGGGUGGUAGACUUGGGUGAAAAAGUUUGUUUUAAGGGUAGUGGGAGGAUAUUCCAGUUGGCAGCAGCAUGCAAAAUCCUGAAGGCCGAUAUGCAAAGAUGUGAUCGUGAUUGUGAACCCGGACUAGUACUGGACACUGGGUUUGGUCUUGGGCGCUGUGAACAGUAUUGGGCUGGCUUGAUGAAUGAUCUGCUCAUGCAGACGUGGCAGUUAGGCUGGAGGCUCUGUGAAAAAAGGUGACAAGCUAUGGGUACUGGAACGGGAACCACCAGUGCAAUGAGUAGCUGGAUUGUCACCUAUCUGAAAGUCACGUGAGGACUGGUGAGUAGAUGGAAUGCUGGGGGGGACCAGCAAUGCAGGAAUGGAGUGCUGGACGGAACCAGCACGGCCAGGUUAUCGGAUGCUGGACUGAAGUAGCUUGGCAGUACACAAUGGCUGGAUGGAACCAGCUCAGUAAUUGUGGAGGAAGCUGAGGACGUCAGCAAUACAGGCAGUUCACAGAAGGCUGGACGGAACCAGUGCAGUAGUUGUAGAGAAAGCUGUGGACUUCACAGUUCACAGAAGGCUGGACGAUACUGUGGCAGUGCAGCAGGAUUCCAACGCUGUGGAAUGUAGUAUUAGCACUGCAGGUUUUCCAGGUGCUGGGAUGUGGUGAUACUGCACAGCAGAUAACUGGAUGCUUAUAGGAACCAGCAGAGUCUCUUAUCCUGCUAAGGGAUGCAGGACAGUCCCUCUGGAUCACUGGAGGACUUCCAGUGAAUCUGGAGAUGCCCUGAUGUAGUGGCAGCUAUGGCCCUUCAUCUAGGGAGUCAGGGAGUGCUAGAGAUGACAACUGCACCGAGUCUAUACCAGCAGGAGAUUCAGGAGCUCACUCCGGGCUGGGAGACACCAAUGCACUGACAGUUUGCCAGUGCCGAGACCUGGAAUUUAUACCCAGUGCUUACAGCUGAGUGGAUGAGCGGCUGACAUGUUGCGGAUGUGAAUCCGGAUUGGCUCCAGGAAGGUCAGCUGGCUGGAGACUGUAAUGGCACUGUCCAUGGAGCUGAGCGGCGGGCGGCAGAGGACUUCAGGGGAGCGCACACCUGAGGGAUCACACCCAGGCUUGCAGUGGAGGGUUUCAUAGAAACCAGGUUCCUUGCUGCCCAUUGCCGAGGCUGAAAGAAAUGAACUCACCGCUAAUGGCAUCUGUGCUACGCUUUUUGAAGAUUCAUUCUGCACUUAAGAAUGAAAACGCCUAAAUGGUAAAAAGAAAAAAUAAUCAAAACAAAACUUACAUCUCAUUUUGAGUGAUACCUUUCAAGGAUACUUCAAACAAACAAAUACUGUAUGUGACAAUAAUGUUAUUUCAAUGCAUUAAACUUGUUGAUCCACAAA